rnacentral:rRNA from 1 species
UGGGGAAUAUUGGACAAUGGGCGCAAGCCUGAUCCAGCCAUGCCGCGUGAGUGAUGAAGGCCCUAGGGUUGUAAAGCUCUUUCACCGGUGAAGAUAAUGACGGUAACCGGAGAAGAAGCCCCGGCUAACUUCGUGCCAGCAGCCGCGGUAAUACGAAGGGGGCUAGCGUUGUUCGGAUUUACUGGGCGUAAAGCGCACGUAGGCGGACUAUUAAGUCAGGGGUGAAAUCCCGGGGCUAAACCCCGGAACUGCCUUUGAUACUGGUAGUGUUGAGUUCGAGAGAGGUGAGUGGAAUUCCGAGUGUAGAAGUGAAAUUCGUAGAUAUUCGGAGGAACACCAGUGGCGAAGGCGGCUCACUGGCUCGAUACUGACGCUGAGGUGCGAAAGCGGGGGGAGCAAACAGG